GACAAAUAAAAAAAUUCGGACGACCUACGCACACGCUCAGACAGGUUUACGCGCUGACAAGCUGCCCUUCCGCGAACUACACGUUCGACGAAAUGCCGCCGCGAGAGUCGAGACCUCUUCAUCGUCAACUGAGAUUCGCCUAGCAUCUUCUCGGAUUCCUUCCCCAACUUUCGUCCCCAUCAGCGGACCUACUCGAGAUCGACGAGACUCGUCGGAGCCCGGUUCCUAGGCGUCCCAGCGCCCGACUGGAUCUCCUGGCUCGGGCCGCCUUGAUGGUCCCUGGGGUCGGUCCGGGGUGGAGUUCGAGGCGAUGAGCAGGCUUGCGUCGGGGCUCCAGCGCUUGCGGAGGUCGUCGUCGCAGUGGGAGGUGCUGUGGUCGGCGCUCGCGUCAUGCGGCCUAGUGCUUUUCUCGCAGCUCGCCGUGGCGAUGGUUCCCCGUCUCUUCCCUUUCCUCUCCCUCCUCGCGAUGCUCCCCAUCGCGGGUCGGUGCUCUCUGGUUGCUCGCUUCCUUUUUGGUUCUCUGCACAGCUGCACUGCACCCGAUUGCGGGAGUUUCUAUUUUUUAAGCGCCAGAGCGAUUCUGAUCUUCCUUCGACUGCGUGUUGCAUAGGGUUGGUGUUCAUCGCGGCUAUCGUGCUCGGCCGCCUGUGGAGGAGGUUCAUCGGGGUGGCGGCGUCGGCCCCGCUCUUCGUGCUCUUCAACAUCCUCCUAUUGUGGGGCGUUUACGUAUUCGUAAUCCGGAGAGAAACUUCUUCUCUGCUGGACAUGCUAAUAAAUGCAGAGUGUGCACUUCUUCUGUGGGGAUUCUACAGGAUUUUAUCUGGUGAUCCUGGUAUUGUUGCUUGUGAUUCUUCAUAUUUGGAAGAAGCUGGCUGCAAGGAUUUUGUGGAAGCUAUAUACUCGAGUGAGAAACUCCCAAUGCUCUCAAGGGUCAGGCAGUGUACCUGGUGCAAAGCAAACAUUAGGGGCUAUGACCAUCAUUGUCCUGCAUUUGGUACUUGCAUAGGACAGAAAAAUCAUCGUCUAUUUAUGGCCCUUUUGACAGGAUUUGUUGUUGCUGAAUCAACAUAUACGAUGUGCUCAACAAAAUAUAUUACCAGAUGCAUCAGUUCAGGGACUAUAAGAUCGGAGAAUCCUGUAUCUUUAAACAUAGUAAUCAGUACAACGCUCUUCUCUAUCCUCCAGGUCCUCUGGCAGAUCCUCCGUGCUGUUACCAGAUUGUAUUCUUGAUGUGGCACAUAUAUUGCAUCUGCUUCAACAUCAAGACAGAUGAGUGGGUAAUUUCAAAUUUCCCAUGCUUUGGAGUCUUCGUUCAUCAAUUGCAGGUCGUCUUCUCGUUAGCUGUUUCUUGUAGCUAAAAGGUGAGAUUUUCCAGAUUAACUGGAAGAAAUAUCCUGAAUUCCAGAUGAAGGAACAACCUCGAUCAGAUUCUGAAGUCAAAUUUGUGAACCCAUAUGACAAGGGCAUGCUGUGUAACAUAAGAGAAUUUCUAAAGCCGGAAUGAUAGAUAGCCAAUUUUGAGUACGAAGACCUGGAACUAGAAAGAUGGGAAGUCUGAAGUGCGUUAUAACUGGAUGGAAGCUUGUUUCCUUGUUGGCUAUAGAUUUUCAGGAAUCUAUUCUGAUGUUGUAGCCGUUUAGUUGAGAUUCCAGAUUUAUGACAGCGAAUCUGGUUCAGUAAACUGAACCAAACACACUCUGAGGAUCAUUGAACUCCCUGUAGUUUAAUGUGCAAGUAACAUUCUUUUGUAAGGUUACUUUCACUUAUGGAAUUCAUAUCGUGGUCCUGCAUUUUUCA